GCGCUGGGCUGCCCGGGUGAGUGUGAGUGUGAGAGCGAGAGCAGCCCGCGGGUCCCGAGGCGCCGGCUGGGGACUCUGCCGCGGAAAGUUCCCAGUCCCCAGCCGCAGAAAUCCUGUUACCUAACCCAAAGUCACCAUUCGUCCAGAAGGAAAUGGAGAACUCCUUGUUAUUUUAUCAGUGUAGGCUAACCUGACAAAUUCUCAUCCCUAACAAAGCUUCUCCAUCAUUGUUAACUUCAAUAAAUGGAUCCAUGAUGCCCCUGACCAUGGGGAAGAUUCUCCACCCCUGCAAGAUUACUACUGAUGUAACCUUGAGGAGGAGCCUUGUGGAUCUUGGGCUCGCCGCAAAGUGGUACCGAAACCCGGGAACGCCGGGUGUUUUGUGGUCACCAGGC